rnacentral:tRNA from 1 species
UAGUAUAUUUAGAAUGACCACUCAUCAAUCGGGGAUGUAGCUCAAAUGGUAGAGCGCUCGCUUUGCAUGCGAGAGGCACAGGGUUCGAUCCCCUGCAUCUCCACUA